CAGAUGACUGUAGCUGGGAGCUAUUAGCUGGAAAAUACAUUUGGAUCACAGAAUAAAGUCUUACCAAGCAAAAUGUUUCAAAUUUGAUAACAAUACCUUAGAAAAUUAGUGUUUUACACAUGUUUAUCUAAAUUUAUGUCUAGGCGCUUCCCAAAAAAAGGCCACUUGGAGACUCCAAAUGACCCUUUGUAACCAACGACACAUAAAAUGCUGCAAUUCUUGAAUGCUUUAAUGUACAGUCAUAAUUUUGGGCUCUAAUGAAAGCUUACACUUAGACCUAUUCAAUUUCUUAUCCAGAUUCACUGUCAAUAAUUGCUGACACAUAGUAACUGAAGCAUAAACACAUUAUGUAGUGGUUUUUACGAUUUUUUUCAGAGGUGCUGUCAUCAUGUCCCUCAAUAUAUGGCUUUUUGCUGACUGGCUCCCAGACUUCACUCGAUUCAAUGUCAGAUGAUUGUCUGUGAUAUAAAAAAAAAAA